AUUGAACGCUGGCGGCAUGCUUUACACAUGCAAGUCGAACGGUAACAGGCCUUCGGGUGCUGACGAGUGGCGAACGGGUGAGUAAUGCAUCGGAACGUGCCCAAUCGUGGGGGAUAACGUAGCGAAAGUUACGCUAAUACCGCAUUAAGCCCUGAGGGGGAAAGCCAGGGGAUCGCAAGACCUUGCGCGAAUGGAGCGGCCGAUGUCAGAUUAGCUAGUUGGUGGGGUAAAGCCUACCAAGGCGACGAUCUGUAGCGGGUCUGAGAGGAUGAUCCGCCACACUGGGACUGAGACACGGCCCAGACUCCUACGGGAGGCAGCAGUGGGGAAUUUUGGACAAUGGGCGCAAGCCUGAUCCAGCCAUGCCGCGUG
rnacentral:rRNA from 1 species